CGCGGCCUAUCAGCUUGUUGGUGGGGUAACGGCCUACCAAGGCUUCGACGGGUAGCUGGUCUGAGAGGACGAUCAGCCGGAUUGGGACUGAGAUACGGCCCAGACUCCUACGGGGGGCAGCAAUUAGGAAUCUUGCACAAUGGGGGCAACCCUGAUGCAGCGACGUCGCGUGGAGGAUGAAAUCUUUCGGGAUGUAAACUCCUUUUCUCAGGGAAGAAAAAAAUGACGGUACCUGAGGAAUAAGCCCCGGCUAACUACGUGCCAGCAGCCGCGGUAAUACGUAGGGGGCGAGCGUUGUCCGAAGUUACUGGGCGUAAAGAGCGCGUAGGCGGGCUUCUAAGUGAGAGGUGAAAGGUUCGGGCUCAACCCGGAGAGUGCCUUUCAUACUGGGAGCCUUGAGUGCGGGAGAGGCAAGUGGAAUGGUCGGUGUAGCGGUGAAAUGCGUAGAUAUCGAUCGGAACACCCGUGGCGAAGGCGGCUUGCUGGCUCGCAACUGACGCUGAGGCGCGAAAGCGUGGGGAGCAAACAGGAUUAGAUACCCUGGUAGUCCACGCCGUAAACGAUGAGUGCUAGAUGUCCGGGGUAUCGACCCCCCUGGUGUCGCAGCUAACGCAAUAAGCACCCCGCCUGGGGAGUACG
rnacentral:rRNA from 1 species